CUUGGUCUCAUGAAUACUCCUGGUAUAGUUACUGCCUCCUCUUCCUUCAGAUCCAGCCAAACUUCACCUCCUUAUCCUCCUCACUUCCACCUCCACUUAACAGGCCAUGCUUCCAUGCCUGUGCUCAUCACGGAUGCAUAUCAACGCCGAGGAGAGUGGAGUUUCAUUUUAUAGACAAGGCAAUGAGGUUUGAGCCCGUUCUGAACGGCAGGUGGCACUGUUGCCAGUUCCAUGAAUGUUCAUUUUCAAUAAAAAGCCUUGGGUAAGAAGCAGCAGCAAUACAUGGAUGAGAAAACAUGUCGGAGGUCCUGUGACCCAGGACUCGGCAACUGCUCACCAUCUUCCCUUUCACUCAGCUCCGCAGUCCACUUGGGUACUUGUCCCUGACAAAAUGGGAGAAGCUGGUGGGCUUUUCUCCAUGUCCCCGCUUAACUCUGCCUUUGCAGGUGCUGGCCCGGGUGCCUGGGAAGUUAGGGGCAGGCCUGGGCAGUUCCAGCUGUGUGUCCUGUGUCCCUCGCUGCUUCUGCCCUGCGGGCAGCAGGCGACAGUGGUUUCCUCUCACAGGUCUGCCGGGAUGACCUGUGACAAUGCUGCCGCGAGCAUGGUGAGGCCUGCCGUGAGCCUCAGUUCCCAUCUCCUUCUUUUGCCCCAGCAAAGGGGUUAUUUAUUUUAUUUUUUUGCAAUAUCAGUUGAAAUACAAUAUCAUAUCAGUUUCAGGUGUACAACAUUGGACAUGCACAAUAGUUAAGAAGUGAUCACCCCCAUAAGUCAAGUACCCACCUGGCACCAUACACAUUUAUCAAUAUGUUAUCGACUCUGUUCCCCAGGCUGUACCUUGCAGCCCCGUGACUUUCUUUAACUGGCAAUUUGUACAUCUUAAUCUGCAAAGGGGUUUAUUUACCCCCCCACCCCGGCUCUCCAGUUUAAGAAUGAAUUUAAAAGAGGGCGAAGUGUAGCACCAUGGGGGUGAGGAGCAGGAGGGUAGGGACUCCUAUUCAAACACUGACCCCACCGUGCAUAGGCAGGAGCCACUCAGUGACCAGGUUGUCCACGGGCAAUGGCCUUUGCUCAGGCUCCUGAGAGCGCAGAUCAGGAAGGUGUGUUCCUGAAGGUGGAUGCUUAGAGAUAAUGAAGCCCUUCCUUUCUUUUUACCAGUUAAACAUUUUGAGAUGGAUGGCCCCACAGGAAACCUGCAGAAGGAAUUCCCCGCUGCUGGAGGAUGGGUGGGGCCGGGUGUGAAGAGGAAAUCGAAUCUGCUUGGGCAAGCGGGAGGGCCAGGGCCGGAGGCCAUAUGCAUGAGCAGCUGGUCCUGGGAGGGGAGCUGAAGAAGGGCCAGGAGAGGAGGGAAACAGAGGUCAGGGCCAGCCACCUGUUUCAGCUGUGGCGGAGGCCUAUGCAGUGUCCCCGUGGUGGCCUGUGUGCUGGGGUAGUCCGUCUUUUUCAUGGGUUUCCAACCUCAAGGGUGGGUUAGGAUGACUGCAACUGCUUAUGGGAGUUUGAGGGGGGUGUU